UACGUAGGGUGCGAGCGUUGUCCGGAAUUAUUGGGCGUAAAGAGCUUGUAGGUGGUUUGUCGCGUCUGCUGUGAAAAUCCGAGGCUCAACCUCGGACUUGCAGUGGGUACGGGCAGACUAGAGUGUGGUAGGGGAGACUGGAAUUCCUGGUGUAGCGGUGGAAUGCGCAGAUAUCAGGAAGAACCACCCGUGGCGGAAAAGCGGC
rnacentral:rRNA from 1 species